rnacentral:rRNA from 1 species
GCUCCUACCGAUUGAGUGGUCCGGUGAAUAAUUCGGACUGCAACGCAAUUCAGUUAAUGAGUUUGUUGUGGGAAGCUUAGUGAACCUUAUCACUUAGAGGAAGGAGAAGUCGUAACAAGGUUUCCGU